rnacentral:rRNA from 1 species
AUUGAACGCUGGCGGCAUGCUUUACACAUGCAAGUCGAACGGUAACAGGCCGCAAGGUGCUGACGAGUGGCGAACGGGUGAGUAAUGCAUCGGAACGUGCCCAGUCGUGGGGGAUAACGCAGCGAAAGCUGCGCUAAUACCGCAUACGAUCUAUGGAUGAAAGCGGGGGACCGUAAGGCCUCGCGCGAUUGGAGCGGCCGAUGUCAGAUUAGGUAGUUGGUGGGGUAAAGGCUCACCAAGCCAACGAUCUGUAGCUGGUCUGAGAGGACGACCAGCCACACUGGGACUGAGACACGGCCCAGACUCCUACGGGAGGCAGCAGUGGGGAAUUUUGGACAAUGGGCGCAAGCCUGAUCCAGCAAUGCCGCGUGCAGGAAGAGGCCUUCGGGUUGUAAACUGCUUUUGUACGGAACGAAACGGUCCGGGUUAAUACCCUGGGCCGAUGACGGUACCGUAAGAAUAAGCACCGGCUAACUACGUGCCAGCCGCCGCGGUAA